rnacentral:rRNA from 1 species
UGGGGAAUUUUGGACAAUGGGCGAAAGCCUGAUCCAGCAAUGCCGCGUGUGUGAAGAAGGCCUUCGGGUUGUAAAGCACUUUUGUCCGGAAAGAAAUCCUUGGCUCUAAUACAGUCGGGGGAUGACGGUACCGGAAGAAUAAGCACCGGCUAACUACGUGCCAGCAGCCGCGGUAAUACGUAGGGUGCAAGCGUUAAUCGGAAUUACUGGGCGUAAAGCGUGCGCAGGCGGUUUGCUAAGACCGAUGUGAAAUCCCCGGGCUCAACCUGGGAACUGCAUUGGUGACUGGCAGGCUAGAGUAUGGCAGAGGGGGGUAGAAUUCCACGUGUAGCAGUGAAAUGCGUAGAGAUGUGGAGGAAUACCGAUGGCGAAGGCAGCCCCCUGGGCCAAUACUGACGCUCAUGCACGAAAGCGUGGGGAGCAAAACAGGAUUAGAUACCCUGGUAGUCCACGCCCUAAACGAUGUCAACUAGUUGUUGGGGAUUCAUUUCCUUAGUAACGUAGCUAACGCGUGAAGUUGACCG